CAUCUAAGCACGAAACUUGCCCCGAGAUGAGUUCUCCCUGACUCCUUGAGAGUCCUGAAGGAACGUUGAAGACGACGACGUUGAUAGGCCGGGUGUGUAAGCGCAGCGAUGCGUUGAGCUAACCGGUACUAAUGAACCGUGAGGCUUAACCUUACAACGCCGAAGGUGUUU
rnacentral:rRNA from 1 species